rnacentral:rRNA from 1 species
AUGUGUUGUUCAGCAUUGGCUCAUGGUAGUAAAUGGUUCCGAUUUAGGGAGAAUUUAUCACUCAUUGUUUUUUCCAGAAAUGGGGAGCUGAUGAACCCGGCGUCUCGACAGAUAUACCUCAUCUUCCCAGUGGACAGCACCUUCCACGAGGAUGACAUCUCCAACUACUUCAGCAUCUACGAUCCUGUCCACGAUGUGCGCAUCCCCUACCAACAGAACCACAUGUUUGGAUUCGUCACCUUCGUCUACAAGGAGAAGGGCAAGGUCCGCAACAAGUUCAGGAAGCAGAAGGGCGAGAGGGUGGACUUCUCUAGCUGCGGGUCUCCCAACUAUUGUAUCUACUUGAUUGCCUUCUGUUAUCCAGAUCGAAAUUGUCCUAAGAAUGAGGCAACACUCGGAGCUACCGAAUUUGAAUGUUUCCAUCUCUGGUACCAUGGCACGGCAUUGGCGGCGGCAUCUUGGUGA